UACGAAGGGUGCAAGCGUUAAUCGGAAUUACUGGGCGUAAAGGGUGCGUAGGCGGUUGGUUAAGUCUGUCGUGAAAUCCCCGGGCUCAACCUGGGAAUGGCGAUGGAUACUGGGCAGCUAGAGUGUGUCAGAGGAUGGUGGAAUUCCCGGUGUAGCGGUGAAAUGCGUAGAGAUCGGGAGGAACAUCAGUGGCGAAGGCGGCCAUCUGGGACAACACUGACGCUGAAGCACGAAAGCGUGGGGAGCAAACAGG
rnacentral:rRNA from 1 species